rnacentral:rRNA from 1 species
UACGGAGGGUGCAAGCGUUAUCCGGAUUCACUGGGUUUAAAGGGUGCGUAGGCGGGUAAGUAAGUCCGUGGUGAAAUCUCUGAGCUUAACUCAGAAACUGCCGUGGAUACUAUUUGCCUUGAAUAUUGUGGAGGUGAGCGGAAUAUGUCAUGUAGCGGUGAAAUGCUUAGAUAUGACAUAGAACACCAAUUGCGAAGGCAGCUCACUUCACAAUCAUUGACGCUGAGGCACGAAAGCGUGGGGAUCAAACAGG